GUUGAUUAUCUAUUUCUUAUCUUUAGUAUUGGUCUACAACUAUUUAUUUCAAUUAAAAAGCAAGGACUAAUAUAGCACCCCACGGAACACCUAUUUGAUCCAUCUAGCCUGCCAACAAGGGCUCGGGCCUCUGUUCAAGGAGUGACUUUGUUGAGCUCUUUUAGUGAGUGAACAGCCGCUUUCCUAAUAAAUACAUUCCAUUCAGACGAUUCGGUGGCCGAGUUGGUCUGACUCAGGAAGCUCCCUCCAGAGCAAAGCAAGCUGUAAGUCAGUUUCAAGUCUGCCUUCCGCUAGAAAGCUCACUACACGCCACGUCACUUUUGACUUAGCAAAGAAAGACAAGCUACGAACUACCGCUGCCCUUCCGUGCUCGUAGGUUGACUCCCCUAUGCAUCCCGACUAAGGUCUCACAAACGUGCACUUCCCUUAUGCAUCCAGCCG
rnacentral:misc_RNA from 1 species